GCCAGUUUGGCUCAGUGGAUAGAGCAUCGGCCUGCGGACUGAAGGGUCCCGGGUUCGAUUCCGGCAAAGGGCA
rnacentral:tRNA from 1 species